AACUCCUAAAAUUGUAACAAAGAAGUCUUGUUGCUGGAUCUAUGGGUCGUGAUAUCUUUCCCCUAUCUGCUCUUACCCUUUAUUUUUCUUCCUUU